rnacentral:rRNA from 1 species
AGAGUUUGAUCCUGGCUCAGAAUCAACGCUGGCGGCGCGCUUAACACAUGCAAGUCGCACGAGAAAGUGGAGCAAUCCAUGAGUACAGUGGCGUACGGGUGAGUAACACGUGGAUCAUCUACCUCUUGGUGGGGAAUACCCCCGGGAAACUGGGGACAAUACCGCAUAAGCCUGCGAAGGGAAAGCAGCAAUGCGCCGAGAGAGGAGUCCGCGGCCGAUUAGCUAGUUGGCGGGGUAACGGCCCACCAAGGCGAAGAUCGGUAGCCGGCCUGAGAGGGCUCACGGCCACACUGGCACUGAAACACGGGCCAGACUCCUACGGGAGGCAGCAGUGGGGAAUCUUGCACAAUGGAGGAAACUCUGAUGCAGCGACGCCGCGUGAGCGAUGAAGCCCCUCGGGGUGUAAAGCUCUUUCGACGGGAAAGAUAAUGACGGUACCCGAAGAGAG